rnacentral:rRNA from 1 species
AGAGCGGCGUACGGGUGCGGAACACGUGUGCACUGCCUUUAUCUGGGGGAUAGCCUUUCGAAAGGAAGAUUAAUACCCAUAAUAUGUUGAAUGGCAUCAUCGACAUUGAAAACUCCGGUGGAUAGAGAUGGGCCCGCGCAAAGAUUACGAUAGUUGGUGACGGUAACGGUCACCAAGUCUACGAUCUUUAGGGGGCCUGAGAGGGUGAUCCCCCACACUGGUACUGAGACCGGACCAGACUCCUACGGGAGGCCAGCAGUGACGGACAUAUUGGACAAUGGGUGAGAGCCUGAUCCAGCCAUCCCGCGUGAAGGACGACUGCCCUAUGGGUUGUACAACUUCUUUUGUAUACGGGAUAAACUACCCUCGUGAGGGUAGCUGANGGUACUAUACCGAAUAAGCACCGGUUAAACUCCAGUGUCAAAGCCGCGGUAAUACCGGAGGGUGCCACGCGUUAAUCCGGACUUUACUUAGGGUUACACAGGGGUCCCCGCAAGGCGGAUCUUGGUACAGUUCAGUGGGUGCACACCCCUCCCACCAGUUUAACUUGUGCAAACUUGCCAUUUAGCAUACUGCCAGGUCUAGGANNUGGUUGGCUGA